rnacentral:rRNA from 1 species
UGGGGAAUAUUGGGCAAUGGGCGCAAGCCUGACCCAGCAACGCCGCGUGAAGGAAGAAGGCUUUCGGGUUGUAAAACUUCUUUUCUCAGGGACGAAGAAAGUGACGGUACCUGAGGAAUAAGCCACGGCUAACUACGUGCC